UGCAGUCGAACGGGAUUCCAUUUGUAGCAAUACAAAUGAAGUCUAGUGGCGUAAGGGUGCGUAACACGUGGGAAAUCUGCCGAGAAGUGGGGGAUAGCUCGCCGAAAGGCGAAUUAAUACCGCAUGUGGCCAGGAAGGGCAUCCUUCCGACGCCAAAGCCGGGGCAACCUGGCGCUUCUUGAUGAUCCCGCGGCCUAUCAGCUAGUUGGUGAGGUAACGGCUCACCAAGGCUAUGACGGGUAGCUGGUCUGAGAGGACGACCAGCCACACUGGAACUGAGACACGGUCCAGACACCUACGGGUGGCAGCAGUCGAGAAUUUUUCUCAAUGGGGGAAACCCUGAAGGAGCGACGCCGCGUGGAGGAUGAAGGUCUUCGGAUUGUAAACUCCUGUCAUUUGGGAACAAUUGCUGGCGAUUAACUGUCGUCAGCUUGAUAGUACCAGAAGAGGAAGAGACGGCUAACUCUGUGCCAGCAGCCGCGGUAAUACAGAGGUCUCAAGCGUUGUUCGGAUUCAUUGGGCGUAAAGGGUGCGUAGGUGGCGUCGUAAGUCAGGUGUGAAAUCUCGGGGCUCAACCCCGAAACUGCACUUGAUACUGCGAUGCUUGAGUACUGGAGAGGAGAUUGGAAUUUACGGUGUAGCAGUGAAAUGCGUAGAUAUCGUAAGGAAGACCAGUGGCGAAGGCGAAUCUCUGGACAGUUACUGACACUGAGGCACGAAGGCCAGGGGAGCAAACGGGAUUAGAUACCCCGGUAGUCCUGGCAGUAAACGGUGCGCGUUUGGUGUGGGAGGAUUCGACCCCUUCUGUGCUGAGCUAACGCGUUAAACGCGCCGCCGGGGAUACGUCGCAAGAUAAAACUCAAAGAAAUUGAC
rnacentral:rRNA from 1 species